rnacentral:rRNA from 1 species
UAGGCUGCCUAAGGCGAAAUCAAUGACUGGGGUGAAGUCGUAACAAGGUAGCCGUAUCGGAAGGUGCGGCUGGAUCACCUCCUUU